rnacentral:lncRNA from 1 species
UCAGCAAUGAAAAUGCACAGACUACUGAUACACCAACAACAUGGAUGAAUUUCAGAGACAUGAUGCAGAGAAAAAGAAGCCAGACUCAAAAGAGUAUAUACUGAAUGAUUCCAUACUGGCGUUUGCUUUCAGUGAAUAUGAUCAGUGACAGGGAUCCUGAAAGGAGAGCACAAUAAAGCUCUGCAGAAGCCUCCAUCUGCCAAAAUAAGCUCUGGGAGAAGCCAGGUGCCAUGUUGUGAGGACACUGGAGCACCCCUAAGGAGGCCUGUGUUGUGGGAACUGAGGCCUCCUGCCAUCAGCCAGCACCCACUUGCCAGCCAUGUGAAUAAACCAUCUUGGAAGUGGAUCCUCCAGCCCAUUAUGUCCUCAAAUGACAGCAAAUUCAUGAACGACUGUGAGCCAGAACCACCCAGCUAAGUCACUACCAAAUUCUUGACCCACAGAGACUGAGAUAAUACAUAAUAUUUAUUAUUGUUUUAAGCUACUAGGUUUUGGGGGCAUUUUUUACCUAACAAUAGGCAACUAAUAUGGUAGAUG